CUGAUCGCUCGCGCCGAUGAUUUAAUUUUUAAGUUAAAGCCUGCGCCGCGUUACUCACAUCCAUACAUACGUGCGAAUAUACAUGCCUACAUAAUACGGCGUACAUCGAUAAAUAGAUAUACCCCGCAGAUAUAGUGUCUCGAUCGACAGCAACGAACCCAUGAAAACCUAAAACAAAACUGUUUGCGAGCGGAAAUCAUAUUGCCGCGGCGGCCACCGAAAUGCUAAAUGAAUCAGGCCAAUAAUAUGAGAAAGAGUUCUUUCUGCCAAGCGAUGUUAUUGUUUUUGACUGCCGGAAACGGAAGCAACGCCAACUGCAUAUAGCUUUAUAGACGUAUAUCCACAUAGUGCUGCGAUACAGUCAUCACUCGCAGCGCUGUCAUAUACUAUAAAUAUAGAUGCGGCGGCACAUGUGAGCGAUUUUUGGCAAUUGCCAGAGAAUACGGCGCACAAGUCGGGCAAAAACAAACAGCGCGUGCAGGCUAAACAUGAAAUAAAUAUUUGAAAAUGAAAAUAUAAAUAAGAAUUAAUAAUCCCCGCCUUGGGGCGCAUGUAUGUGUGAGCGUGUGAGUAAUCCGAACAAUAACUAUACUAUAAUAGCGAGCGAUCUGCAUUCAAAGAGAGAAGAAUCACACAAGAAGAAAACGAACGAACCUAACAACGCGAACAAACACAAAACGGAAUUGUAAUAAUUGACGAGACGAGCCCAUAACGAGCCGAGAACGAGCAGCACAAAGCGACAAACCAAAAAUAGACGAUACCCACGCCAGCGGAGAAAGAACAACAACACUACAAUCAAUUGUGAUCACUGUG